rnacentral:tRNA from 1 species
UCCAGGAUAGCUUAGUGGACAUGGCACCUGCCCGGUAAGCAGAAGGUUGUGGGUUCAAUUCCCGCUCCUGGAC